CAGCCGCCGCGGUAAUACGGAGGGUGCAAGCGUUAUCCGGAUUCACUGGGUUUAAAGGGUGCGUAGGCGGGUAGGUAAGUCAGUGGUGAAAUCCUGGAGCUCAACUCCAGAACUGCCAUUGAUACUAUCUGUCUUGAAUAUUGUGGAGGUAAGCGGAAUAUGUCAUGUAACGGUGAAAUGCUUAGAUAUGACAUAGAACACCCAUUGCGAAGGCAGCUUACUACGCAUAUAUUGACGCUGAGGCACGAAAGCGUGGGGAUCAAACAGGAUUAGAUACCCUGGUAGUCCACGCCCUAAACGAUGGAUACUCGACAUACGCGAUACACUGUGUGUGUCUGAGCGAAAGCAUUAAGUAUCCCACCUGGGAAGUACGUUCGCAAGAUUGAAACUCAAAGGAAUUGGCGGGGGAGCACA
rnacentral:rRNA from 1 species